rnacentral:rRNA from 1 species
CAGCAGCCGCGGUAAAACGAGGGGGGCAAGCGUUGUUCGGAAUUAUUGGGCGUAAAGAGUGCGUAGGCGGUUCAGCAAGUCUCGUGUGAAAUCUUCGGGCUCAACCCGAAGUCUGCACGGGAAACUACUGGGCUUGAGUAAUGGAGAGGUGAGUGGAAUUUCCGGUGUAGCGGUGAAAUGCGUAGAUAUCGGAAGGAACACCUGUGGCGAAAGCGGCUCACUGGACAUUUACUGACGCUGAUGCACGAAAGCUAGGGGAGCAAACAGGAUUAGAUACCCCCGUAGUCCCUGUCUCUUAUAC